AUUGAACGCUGGCGGCAUGCCUUACACAUGCAAGUCGAACGGCAGCAUGAUCUAGCUUGCUAGAUUGAUGGCGAGUGGCGAACGGGUGAGUAAUACAUCGGAACGUGCCCUGUAGUGGGGGAUAACUAGUCGAAAGAUUAGCUAAUACCGCAUACGACCUGAGGGUGAAAGUGGGGGACCGCAAGGCCUCAUGCUAUAGGAGCGGCCGAUGUCUGAUUAGCUAGUCGGUGAGGUAAAGGCUCACCAAGGCGACGAUCAGUAGCUGGUCUGAGAGGACGAUCAGCCACACUGGGACUGAGACACGGCCCAGACUCCUACGGGAGGCAGCAGUGGGGAAUUUUGGACAAAGGGCGGAAGCCUGAUCUAGCAAUGCCGCGUGUGUGAAGAAGGCCUUCGGGUUGUAAAGCACUUUUGUCCGGAAAGAAAUGGCUCUGGUUAAUACCUGGGGUCGAUGACGGUACCGGAAGAAUAAGGACCGGCUAACUACGUG
rnacentral:rRNA from 1 species